AUGAAGCCAUACAUGCCCACGGUACUGAGACCCCCUAGGGUGGUGGCCAUCCUGGCCGUGGUCCUGGCGGCGGCGCUCGCCACAGCCGUGAACGCUCAGCAGUGCGGCUCCCAGGCUGGUGGCGCGACGUGCGCAAACUGUCUCUGCUGCAGCAAAUUCGGGUACUGCGGCAGCGGCGACGCCUACUGCGGUGCCGGCUGUCAGAGCCAGUGCAGCGGCUGCGGCCCCACCCCUCCCGGCCCCAGCCCCGGCGGGGGCGUGUCGUCCAUCAUCUCCAGGGACCUCUUCGAGCGGCUCCUUCUUCACCGCAAUGACUGCCAAGAGGCCCGCGGGUUCUACACGUACGACGCCUUCCUCGCCGCCGCCGCCGCGUUCCCGUCAUUCGGCACCACGGGGAGCACGGAGACGCGGAAGCGGGAGGUGGCGGCCUUCCUGGGGCAAACUUCCCACGAGACCACUGGCGGGUGGCCCGCGGCGCCCGACGGACCGUACGCCUGGGGCUACUGCUUCAAGCAGGAGCAGGGCUCGCCGGGAAGCUACUGCGAGCCAAAGCCGGAGUGGCCGUGCGCGUCGGGCAAGAAAUACUACGGUCGCGGCCCCAUCCAGCUCUCAUGGAACUACAACUAUGGCCCCGCGGGGCGUGCCAUCGGGGUGGACCUGCUCAACAACCCGGACCUGGUCGCCGCGGACGCGACGGUGUCGUUUAAGACGGCGUUAUGGUUUUGGAUGACGGCUCAGGCGAACAAGCCGUCGUCCCAUGCCGUGAUCACAGGCCAAUGGACCCCGUCGGGCACGGACAACGCUGCUGGUCGGGUGCCUGGGUACGGUGUCAUCACCAACAUAAUCAACGGCGGGCUCGAGUGCGGUAGGGGGCAGGAUGACCGUGUUGCUAACCGGAUCGGGUUCUACAAGCGCUACUGCGAUGUCCUCGGCGUUGGCUAUGGUAACAACCUCGACUGCUACAACCAGAGGCCGUUUAACAGUGGGCUCUCGAUGGGGCUUGCCACUGAGUGA
rnacentral:rRNA from 1 species